CCUCCGACGGGUCCCCCAAGUUCGACGGCACCAACAUCCUGCUAGCCGGCCCAGUCGCCGCCGGCUGAUCUCGACUCUGCCCGCUCCUCCCCAGCCGACCUUCCCCAAGCAUGACAACUAGAAUUUGUGAGAUAGCACGCAAGUCGGUCGUUGUCGUGGCGGAUAAAAAUGUGCCUGGUGAGUACUGCAGUGGUUGUGUCCUGACUAAGGACAGUGCCAUCCAAGUCCUAGCCCCAUUGUCUUUUGUCCAGGGAAGAGAGAACCAUCUGAAGGUGGUAUUUUACAACAAAAAAGAGUUGGACGCCACAGUAGUUUUGGUACAUGGUUUGUUUUGCUUACUGAAGACAGCAGUCCACUCAACCUGUGAGAAGGUUAUUUUGCUACGAGGUGAUGUUACUCGCCCUCAGUGGACAUUUAUGUAUGUUCCACGGUCUGACAUGGCUACGGACAAAGUGAAUACUUAUGUCGCUGCAGAAUCCCUUCAGUCCUACGAUGCAGACUGCAGCUUGACUGCCAAUUCUUCUGACUAUUGUAUGGUUUCAUGUGAUUACGUCAAGAAGACUCCAAGUGGGCUUAAUACAUUGAGUGGUGCGGCUGUUUUCACGACAUCGGGGAGGACUGCGGGAAUUGUUUUGCAGGAUUUUGAACGUUCUGAGCGUAACCCUGGGGCUGAGAUGAAAGUAGCAUUUAAAGCCAACCAUCUCCGCGAACUCAUGAUGAUCAUUGACCCUCCGGCGCCAUCAGAUGAUCUAACAAAGAAGAGGAAGAGGAAUCACCACCAAGGAAAAAGACAAUGAGGCUUUCCAACAAAAGAUGUCUUAGCAGGGCAGUAUUAGACUUUCGUUUGAAUAUUUGCAUAAAUCUGUAUGGGUCUUGUUGUGUCGGCAGAUGUUGUAAUCCGGAGCAGGUAGAGCGAUGAUCUUCAGAGGACACCAUAGUAUCGAGCUUAUCUCCCUGCAUAAUUGCAUUAUCAGCA